CAGUAGCCGCGGUAAUACGUAGGUGGCAAGCGUUGUCCGGAAUUAUUGGGCGUAAAGCGCGCGCAGGUGGUUUAAUAGGUCUGAUGUGAAAGCCCACGGCUCAACCGUGGAGGGUCAUUGGAAACUGUUAAACUUGAGUGCAGGAGAGAAAAGUGGAAUUCCCAGUGUAGCGGUGAAAUGCGUAGAGAUUAGGAGGAACACCAGUGGCGAAGGCGGCUUUUUGGCCUGUAACUGACACUGAGGCGCGAAAGCGUGGGGAGCAAACAGGAUUAGAUACCCCAGUAGUCCCUGUCUCUUAUAC
rnacentral:rRNA from 1 species